rnacentral:RNase_P_RNA from 1 species
CGAGUUGGCCAGGCGGCCGCGGCACCACUAGGUGUCGAGGAAAGUCCGGACUUCACAGAGCAGGGUGAUUGCUAACGGCAAUCCGAGGUGACUCGCGGGAAAGUGCCACAGAAAACAGACCGCCAGCAAUGGUAAGGGUGAAACGGUGCGGUAAGAGCGCACCAGCAUCCCGGGUGACCGGGGUGGCUAGGCAAACCCCACCCGAAGCAAGGCCAAGAAGGCCGCAACCUGGUUGCGGCCGCGCAGGCGUUUGAGGGUUGCUCGCCCGAGCCUGCGGGUAGGCCGCUUGAGGCACCCGGCAACGGUGUGUCCAGAUGGAUGGUCGCCACCGGCACUCCUGGCAACGGGAGAGCCGGGACAGAAUCCGGCUUACCGGCCAACUCGUUCG